rnacentral:rRNA from 1 species
AAACUUUCAACAACGGAUCUCUUGGUUCUGGCAUCGAUGAAGAACGCAGCGAAAUGCGAUAAGUAGUGUGAAUUGCAGAAUUCAGUGAAUCAUCGAAUCUUUGAACGCACAUUGCGCCCCUCGGUAUCCCGGGGAGCAUGCCUGUUCGAGCGUCAUUU